AUACGGAGGAUCCGAGCGUUAUCCGGAUUUAUUGGGUUUAAAGGGUGCGCAGGCGGCCAUUUAAGUCAGCGGUUAAAUCGUGGGGCUCAACCCCAUUCUGCCGUUGAUACUGGGUGGCUUGAUUGCGGUCGAGGUUGGCGGAAUUAGUUGUGUAGCGGUGAAAUGCAUAGAUAUGACGAAGAACACCGAUUGCGUAGGCAGCUGACCAGACCGCAAAUGACGCUCAUGCACGAAAGUGCGGGGAUCGAACAGGAUUAGAUACCCUGGUAGUCCGCACAGUAAACGAUGAAUACUUGUUUUCGGCGAUAUAAUGUCGGAGGCAAAGCGAAAGCGAUAAGUAUUCCACCUGGGGAGUACGCCGGCAACGGUGAAACUCAAAGGAAUUGACGGGG
rnacentral:rRNA from 1 species